GUCCUUGGAUAGCUCAGUUGGUUAGAGCAUGAUGCUAAUAAUGCCAGAGUUGCAGGUUUGAACCCUGUAUGGGACA